rnacentral:rRNA from 1 species
UACGAAGGGGGCUAGCGUUGCUCGGAAUCAUUGGGCGUAAAGGGUGCGUAGGCGGUUUGUCGCGUCGAAUGUGAAAACCCGGGGCUCAACCCCGGGCCUGCAUUCGAUACGGGCAGACUAGAGUUCGGUAGGGGAGUCUGGAAUUCCUGGUGUAGCGGUGAAAUGCGCAGAUAUCAGGAGGAACACCGGUGGCGAAGGCGGGACUCUGGGCCGAUACUGACGCUGGAGGAGCGAAAGCGUGGGGAGCAAACAGG